rnacentral:misc_RNA from 1 species
UGAUGGUAGAUUCUUGAUUCC